GCUGUUUGUCAAUACAAAUUAGCAUAAGAGAAGCUGUGAAUAACCUGGAAAAUGUCACUCUACUAUAGUGGCUUAUAACUGCAGCUAGAAUUUGAUCUCCAAGGUAGCCAGUGCUAAUCUUGUCCAAGCUUUGUGUGUUGUGCACAGGCACAACUUGGAUUAAUCUCUCUGAUGUGAAGCCUAGUUGAUAUUUCACAAGUGGAUGGUAC